AGCGUACACGGUGGAUGCCCUGGCAGUCAGAGGCGAUGAAGGACGUGCUAAUCUGCGAUAAGCGUCGGUAAGGUGAUAUGAACCGUUAUAACCGGCGAUUUCCGAAUGGGGAAACCCAGUGUGUUUCGACACACUAUCAUUAACUGAAUCCAUAGGUUAAUGAGGCGAACCGGGGGAACUGAAACAUCUAAGUACCCCGAGGAAAAGAAAUCAACCGAGAUUCCCCCAGUAGCGGCGAGCGAACGGGGAGCAGCCCAGAGCCUGAAUCAGUGUGUGUGUUAGUGGAAGCGUCUGGAAAGGCGCGCGAUACAGGGUGACAGCCCCGUACACAAAAAUGCACAUGCUGUGAGCUCGAUGAGUAGGGCGGGACACGUGGUAUCCUGUCUGAAUAUGGGGGGACCAUCCUCCAAGGCUAAAUACUCCUGACUGACCGAUAGUGAACCAGUACCGUGAGGGAAAGGCGAAAAGAACCCCGGCGAGGGGAGUGAAAAAGAACCUGAAACCGUGUACGUACAAGCAGUGGGAGCCUCUUUUAUGGGGUGACUGCGUACCUUUUGUAUAAUGGGUCAGCGACUUAUAUUCUGUAGCAAGGUUAACCGAAUAGGGGAGCCGAAGGGAAACCGAGUCUUAACUGGGCGUUAAGUUGCAGGGUAUAGACCCGAAACCCGGUGAUCUAGCCAUGGGCAGGUUGAAGGUUGGGUAACACUAACUGGAGGACCGAACCGACUAAUGUUGAAAAAUUAGCGGAUGACUUGUGGCUGGGGGUGAAAGGCCAAUCAAACCGGGAGAUAGCUGGUUCUCCCCGAAAGCUAUUUAGGUAGCGCCUCGUGAAUUCAUCUCCGGGGGUAGAGCACUGUUUCGGCAAGGGGGUCAUCCCGACUUACCAACCCGAUGCAAACUGCGAAUACCGGAGAAUGUUAUCACGGGAGACACACGGCGGGUGCUAACGUCCGUCGUGAAGAGGGAAACAACCCAGACCGCCAGCUAAGGUCCCAAAGUCAUGGUUAAGUGGGAAACGAUGUGGGAAGGCCCAGACAGCCAGGAUGUUGGCUUAGAAGCAGCCAUCAUUUAAAGAAAGCGUAAUAGCUCACUGGUCGAGUCGGCCUGCGCGGAAGAUGUAACGGGGCUAAACCAUGCACCGAAGCUGCGGCAGCGACGCUUAUGCGUUGUUGGGUAGGGGAGCGUUCUGUAAGCCUGCGAAGGUGUGCUGUGAGGCAUGCUGGAGGUAUCAGAAGUGCGAAUGCUGACAUAAGUAACGAUAAAGCGGGUGAAAAGCCCGCUCGCCGGAAGACCAAGGGUUCCUGUCCAACGUUAAUCGGGGCAGGGUGAGUCGACCCCUAAGGCGAGGCCGAAAGGCGUAGUCGAUGGGAAACAGGUUAAUAUUCCUGUACUUGGUGUUACUGCGAAGGGGGGACGGAGAAGGCUAUGUUGGCCGGGCGACGGUUGUCCCGGUUUAAGCGUGUAGGCUGGUUUUCCAGGCAAAUCCGGAAAAUCAAGGCUGAGGCGUGAUGACGAGGCACUACGGUGCUGAAGCAACAAAUGCCCUGCUUCCAGGAAAAGCCUCUAAGCAUCAGGUAACAUCAAAUCGUACCCCAAACCGACACAGGUGGUCAGGUAGAGAAUACCAAGGCGCUUGAGAGAACUCGGGUGAAGGAACUAGGCAAAAUGGUGCCGUAACUUCGGGAGAAGGCACGCUGAUAUGUAGGUGAAGUCCCUCGCGGAUGGAGCUGAAAUCAGUCGAAGAUACCAGCUGGCUGCAACUGUUUAUUAAAAACACAGCACUGUGCAAACACGAAAGUGGACGUAUACGGUGUGACGCCUGCCCGGUGCCGGAAGGUUAAUUGAUGGGGUUAGCGCAAGCGAAGCUCUUGAUCGAAGCCCCGGUAAACGGCGGCCGUAACUAUAACGGUCCUAAGGUAGCGAAAUUCCUUGUCGGGUAAGUUCCGACCUGCACGAAUGGCGUAAUGAUGGCCAGGCUGUCUCCACCCGAGACUCAGUGAAAUUGAACUCGCUGUGAAGAUGCAGUGUACCCGCGGCAAGACGGAAAGACCCCGUGAACCUUUACUAUAGCUUGACACUGAACAUUGAGCCUUGAUGUGUAGGAUAGGUGGGAGGCUUUGAAGUGUGGACGCCAGUCUGCAUGGAGCCGACCUUGAAAUACCACCCUUUAAUGUUUGAUGUUCUAACGUUGACCCGUGAUCCGGGUUGCGGACAGUGUCUGGUGGGUAGUUUGACUGGGGCGGUCUCCUCCUAAAGAGUAACGGAGGAGCACGAAGGUUGGCUAAUCCUGGUCGGACAUCAGGAGGUUAGUGCAAUGGCAUAAGCCAGCUUGACUGCGAGCGUGACGGCGCGAGCAGGUGCGAAAGCAGGUCAUAGUGAUCCGGUGGUUCUGAAUGGAAGGGCCAUCGCUCAACGGAUAAAAGGUACUCCGGGGAUAACAGGCUGAUACCGCCCAAGAGUUCAUAUCGACGGCGGUGUUUGGCACCUCGAUGUCGGCUCAUCACAUCCUGGGGCUGAAGUAGGUCCCAAGGGUAUGGCUGUUCGCCAUUUAAAGUGGUACGCGAGCUGGGUUUAGAACGUCGUGAGACAGUUCGGUCCCUAUCUGCCGUGGGCGCUGGAGAACUGAGGGGGGCUGCUCCUAGUACGAGAGGACCGGAGUGGACGCAUCACUGGUGUUCGGGUUGUCAUGCCAAUGGCACUGCCCGGUAGCUAAAUGCGGAAGAGAUAAGUGCUGAAAGCAUCUAAGCACGAAACUUGCCCCGAGAUGAGUUCUCCCUGACUCCUUGA
rnacentral:rRNA from 1 species